GACGAACGCUGGCGGCGCGCCUAACACAUGCAAGUCGAACGGAGCUGAGAGAAGCUUGCUUUUCUUAGCUUAGUGGCGAACGGGUGAGUAACGCGUGAGUAACCUGCCCUGGAGUGGGGGACAACAGUUGGAAACGACUGCUAAUACCGCAUAAGCCCACGAUCCGGCAUCGGAUUGAGGGAAAAGGAUUUAUUCGCUUCAGGAUGGACUCGCGUCCAAUUAGCUAGUUGGUGAGGUGACGGCCCACCAAGGCGACGAUUGGUAGCCGGACUGAGAGGUUGAACGGCCACAUUGGGACUGAGACACGGCCCAGACUCCUACGGGAGGCAGCAGUGGGGGAUAUUGCACAAUGGGGGAAACCCUGAUGCAGCGACGCCGCGUGGAGGAAGAAGGUUUUCGGAUUGUAAACUCCUGUCGUUAGGGACGAUAAUGACGGUACCUAACAAGAAAGCACCGGCUAACUACGUG
rnacentral:rRNA from 1 species